GAUGAACGCUGGCGGCGUGCCUAAUACAUGCAAGUCGAGCGAACGGACGAGAAGCUUGCUUCUCUGAUGUUAGCGGCGGACGGGUGAGUAACACGUGGAUAACCUACCUAUAAGACUGGGAUAACUUCGGGAAACAGGAGCUAAUACCGGAUAAUAAUUUGAACCGCAUGGUUCAAAAGUGAACGACGGUCUUGCUGUCACUUAUAGAUGGAUCAGCGCUGCAUUAGCUAGUUGGUAAGGUAAAGGCUUACCAAGGCAACGAUGCAUAGCCGAUCUGAGAGGAUGACCGGCCACACUGGAACUGAGACACGGCCCAGACUCCUACGGGAGGCAGCAGUAGGGAAUCUUGCACAAUGGGCGAAAGCCUGACAUAGCAACGCCGCGUGAAUGAUGAAGGUCUUCGGAUCGUAAAACGCUUUUAUAAGGGAAGAACAUAUGUGUAAGUAACUAGGCACUUCUUGACGGUACCGUAAGAGAAAGCCACGGCUAACUACGUG
rnacentral:rRNA from 1 species